rnacentral:rRNA from 1 species
GAUGAACGCUAGCGGCAGGCCCAAUACAUGCAAGUCGAACGGUAAAUAUUGUAGCAAUACGAUAUGAGAGUGACGUACGGGUGCGUAACACGUAUGCAACCUACCCAAAACUGGAGUAUAGCUCGGGGAAACCCGAAUUAACCCUUCAUAGUAUCACUGGAUGGCAUCAUUUGGUGAUUAAAACUCAGGUGGUUUUGGAUGGGCAUGCGUCUGAUUAGCUAGUUGGCGGGGUAAAGGCCCACAAAGGCGAUGAUCAGUAGGGGAACUGAGAGGUUGAUCCCCCACACUGGCACUGAGAUACGGGCCGGACUCCUACGGGAGGCAGCAGUAGGGAAUAUUGGUCAAUGGAUGCAAGUCUGAACCAGCCAUGCCGCGUGCAGGAAGAAGGCCUUCUGGGUUGUAAACUGCUUUUGCCAGAGGAUAAAAUGGGCGUGCGCGCCUAAUUGAAGGUACCUGGUGAAUAAGCCACGGCUAACUACGUGCCAGCAGCCGCCGUAA